rnacentral:rRNA from 1 species
UGCAAGUCGAACGGCAGCACGGAGAGCUUGCUCUCUGGUGGCGAGUGGCGAACGGGUGAGUAAUAUAUCGGAACGUGUCCAAUAAUGGGGGAUAACGAGUCGAAAGAUUCGCUAAUACCGCAUACGCCCUACGGGGGAAAGCAGGGGAUCGUAAGACCUUGCGUUAAUGGAGCGGCCGAUAUCUGAUUAGCUUGUUGGUGAGGUAAAGGCUCACCAAGGCGACGAUCAGUAGCUGGUUUGAGAGAACGACCAGCCACACUGGAACUGAGACACGGUCCAGACUCCUACGGGAGGCAGCAGUGGGGAAUUUUGGACAAUGGGGGCAACCCUGAUCCAGCCAUUCCGCGUGAGUGAAGAAGGCCUUCGGGUUGUAAAGCUCUUUCGCAAGGGAAGAAAACUUAUGAUCGAAUAAAUCAUGAGGUUGACGGUACCUUGAUAAGAAGCACCGGCUAACUACGUGCCAGCAGCCGCGGUAAUACGUAGGGUGCGAGCGUUAAUCGGAAUUACUGGGCGUAAAGCGUGCGCAGGCGGUUUUGUAAGUCGGAUGUGAAAUCCCCGGGCUCAACCUGGGAACUGCGUUCGAAACUGCAAGGCUAGAGUGUGUCAGAGGGGGGUAGAAUUCCACGUGUAGCAGUGAAAUGCGUAGAGAUGUGGAGGAAUACCAAUGGCGAAGGCAGCCCCCUGGGAUAACACUGACGCU